rnacentral:rRNA from 1 species
AGAGAUUGAACAUAAGAGUUUGAUCCUGGCUCAGAUUGAACGCUGGCGGCAUGCUUUACACAUGCAAGUCGGACGGCAGCACAGAGAAGCUUGCUUCUCGGGUGGCGAGUGGCGAACGGGUGAGUAACAUAUCGGAACGUACCGAGUAGUGGGGGAUAACUGAUCGAAAG